rnacentral:rRNA from 1 species
AUUGAACGCUGGCGGCAGGCCUAACACAUGCAAGUCGAACGGUAACAGGAAGCAGCUUGCUGCUUCGCUGACGAGUGGCGGACGGGUGAGUAAUGUCUGGGAAACUGCCUGAUGGGGGGGGAUAACUACUGGAAACGGUAGCUAAUACCGCAUAACGUCGCAAGACCAAAGAGGGGGACCUUCGGGCCUCUUGCCAUCGGAUGUGCCCAGAUGGGAUUAGCUAGUAGGUGGGGUAACGGCUCACCUAGGCGACGAUCCCUAGCUGGUCUGAGAGGAUGACCAGCCACAAUGGAACUGAGACACGGUCCAGACUCCUACGGGAGGCAGCAGUGGGGAAUAUUGCACAAUGGGCGCAAGCCUGAUGCAGCCAUGCCGCGUGUAUGAAGAAGGCCUUCGGGUUGUAAAGUACUUUCAGCGGGGAGGAAGGCGAUAAGGUUAAUAACCUUGUCGAUUGACGUUACCCGCAGAAGAAGCACCGGCUAACUCCGUGCCAGCCGCCGCAGUAA